rnacentral:rRNA from 1 species
AUGUGAAGUCUUACCUGCCCAGUGAAUAUUUUUAACGGCCGCGGUACUCUGACCGUGCAAAGGUAGCAUAAUAAUUUGCUUUAUAAUUGAAGGCUAGAAUGAAUGGUUUGUCAAGGGUGAAACUGUCUCUAAUAGAUUUUAUAAAAUUUUAUCUUUAGGUGAAAAAGCCUAAAUUAUAUUAAAAGACAAGAAGACCCUAUCGAGCUUUAAAUAAAUUAGUAAAAUCUUAAGUUAUUCUUAAAAACUAAGUUACUAAAGAUUUUGGUUGGGGCAACCGAGGAGUAAAAAAAGCCUCCUAUUAUUAAUACUAUUAUAUUGAUCCAGAAAAUCUGAUUAUAAGAAAUAGUUACCGUAGGGAUAACAGCAUUAUUCUUUUUAAGAGUUCUUAUCGAAAAAAGAGUUUGUGACCUCGAUGUUGGACCAGAAUAUCCCAAAGAUGCAGAAGUCUUUAAAGGUUGGUCUGUUCGACCAUUAAAAUUCUA